UACGGAGGAUGCGAGCGUUAUCCGGAUUCAUUGGGCGUAAAGCGCUCGUAGGCGGUCCAUUAGGUCGGAGGUCAAAUCCCGGGGCUCAACCCCGGUCCGCCCCCGAUACCGGUGGACUUGAGUGUGGUAGGGGAAAGCGGAAUUCCCGGUGUAGCGGUGGAAUGCGCAGAUAUCGGGAAGAACACCGGUGGCGAAGGCGGCUUUCUGGGCCAUCACUGACGCUGAGGAGCGAAAGCUGGGGGAGCGAACAGG
rnacentral:rRNA from 1 species